GAUGAACGCUGGCGGCGUGCCUAAUACAUGCAAGUCGAGCGAACAGAUGAGGAGCUUGCUCCUCUGACGUUAGCGGCGGACGGGUGAGUAACACGUGGAUAACCUACCUAUAAGACUGGGAUAACUUCGGGAAACCGGAGCUAAUACCGGAUAAUAUAUUGAACCGCAUGGUUCAAUAGUGAAAGACGGUUUUGCUGUCACUUAUAGAUGGAUCCGCGCCGCAUUAGCUAGUUGGUAAGGUAACGGCUUACCAAGGCGACGAUGCGUAGCCGACCUGUGGGGGUGAUCGGCCACACUGGAACUGAGACACGGUCCAGACUCCUACGGGAGGCAGCAGUAGGGAAUCUUCCGCAAUGGGCGAAAGCCUGACGGAGCAACGCCGCGUGAGUGAUGAAGGUCUUCGGAUCGUAAAACUCUGUUAUUAGUGAAGAACAAAUGUGUAAGUAACUAUGCACGUCUUGACGGUACCUAAUCAGAAAGCCACGGCUAACUACGUG
rnacentral:rRNA from 1 species